rnacentral:lncRNA from 1 species
CGUGUAUAUGAGUAAUUUCGUUUACGUUAGGUCGUUGUGUUUUGUGGUUUUGGUUUCGUUAAUCCCGUUGCUUUGCCGCGUGUGAAACUUAUUCAUCGCUUUGGUAGGUGCAGUCCCUAUCCACAGCCCUGCAGUGUGCAAAAAAAGGCAGUGGAAAAAAUCUGCUUGGGGUUCUGAUCUGCACAAUGGUGACUUCAUGACUACACAGUAUUAAAAGACUGUUCCCCUAAGACAAGUUGGAGCUCUGGAGUUUUUUUUAGAUGACUCUUGUAUUGUAAAUAUAUUCCUGCUUCUUGGAACAAGGACCACAGGAUGUCUUGAUGAGAACCAAAUGUCAUCGGAAAGAUUGUAAAAAGAUGUUUAAGCAGGAGAAACCUAAAGUUGGAGGACGAUACAUUAGUUUCCCGUUACUAGUUUUGUAAAACAAAUGGUAAUUUGGUAAAAUGAAACCACAUGCAACGUUUUACUUUAAAUAAAUUGUUUUCAAAAGUG